AGAUGAGGCUGGGUAGUUGAUAGAUCCUAUAGUUCAACUUUGUUCCUAGAUACACUAGAAGGUGGAUUCAUCUGACGCCAAAGCUUUUGGCUAUGUCUUUUACAGAAAUGAAAUUUCAGGAGGCCAGAACUGGAUGUCAGGUUUUUUUCUAGAAACUUCUUUCCCAGCCUUGAAACUCUUGGGUGCUGUAAGUCUUGGAUAUACAACAUGCCAUCUGCAUUUUUCUUUUAUGUAUGAAGAUGAAGAUGAUUCUUCAAAUUAAGAGGGAAGCUGACUUUUCUCAUCAGAAUCAUUUACAGAAUCAACUUGCAAAAAAUAUAAAAGGCUGCAAACAAAGGAAAAAGUAAAAUAUUUUCAUUUAUCAUCCUUAGAUUCUUUGCUAGACUGUAAACUCCAUGAAAGCAGGAUAACUUCCUUAUCCUUAUCACUUGGCCUAGAAUAAAUGCUCAAAAAAUAUUUGAAAU